rnacentral:lncRNA from 1 species
GAAUUUUAUUUUUCUACUUGUACUUUGAAGGAAAAGGGUGUUGAUUUUGUUUUCUUCAUGCCACAUGUUGCAUUUGAUACCUCCAUUGCAUUUGAAAGGCUUCCAUAAAUUAGAAGAAUCACUUUUCCACUUGGAUUUAUUGAAUUUGGAAAAAAUCUUUAACUCCAUCAUAAUUAAACCUCGUUAGAUUCUUUUUUCUUUUUCUUUUUUUUACACCAAGACUACUUCUUUUAUAAUUCCUCUACUAUUAGCUAACUAGAAAAAUAUAGUCUUUAUAGUUUUUUCUUACAAAAUUCUAUCUUAAAUUACAUAUCCGCUAUUAACAAUCUAUUUUCUAUUUUUUCCUAAAAUUCUAAUAGUAGCUCAUAAAAUUUAUAUUUUAAGCACAAUAAGUGUAUUUUUUUAUACUAAAUAUCAAAGUGAGUCAAUUCAAUGGCUUAAAAAAUCCUAACCAAAUCCUAAUAAAAUCCUAGUCAAUAUCUAAACAAAUCCUAACCAAAUCCUAAACAAACCUAAACAAAUCUUAAUCGAACCCUACUCAAAUCCUAAACAUAUCCUAACUAAAUCCUAAAUAAUCCAAAUAAUUCUUCUAGUAGAUUUAAACCUCAAUAAUUAAUGAAUGAACUAUUGAUUUUAACUCACAUUUUGCAUAUCCCUUCACAAUUAAAUUGACUAUAAGCACAAAUUUUUUUAAGAAGAUCAAACUCACCAAAAAGAAGAUCAAUCCUAAUAUUUGCUCAGAUGUUGGUCAGCCUCCUUCUUCAAUUUGAAUAUCAAUAUCUCCUUGUUGAACUAUUUAAUUGAUUUCAAAUAUUUUAUAUAUAUAGAAAAAUAAGUCUACUAUCUACAUGUAUAAUUUUCACUCCAAUCUAACUAAUAGAUUGCAAGAAAUCUUAGAAACUUUCAUUAGACCUAAAACUCUACUUUUUGAGACCCCAACCUACUUAAACCUCAAUAAACCUCGAUCCAGUCAUUCAAUCAAGCUCAAAGUUACAACAUAUAUUGAACACAUAUAUAUCUACAAACUCUCAAAAUUUCACAUGUAGAUCUAUUGCCAAAUUCACAAAAUUCUCCAAAAAUUAUCACCCACUUUAUUUCACAAAUUCAAAGUCAUCCAAAAUAAAUUCUAACUUUGCAAAGCUCUUAGAAAGUUAAUACACACUCAAAUCAUACAAAUCCAAUGCUCAUCAAAAUCUUAUUAAGUUUUCUCUCUAAAUCCACUCUCCAA